rnacentral:rRNA from 1 species
AUGGAUGCGGGGGGUCCUAGCCCGAAGCGGAGGAGACCGGCCUCGCCCGGUGUGGAAGAAGACGGAGGAUGCGCCGACUACAUCAGCGCCCUCCCCGACGCCGUGCUCGGCGACAUCAUCUCCCUCCUCCCCACCAAGGAAGGCGCCCGCACCCGAAUCCUCGCGUCCCGGUGGCGCGACCUCUGGCUCUCCGCCCCACUUAAUCUCGACUGCCGUGAGCUCACCGCCGGCAGGAACGAAGUCCGUUCCGACGUCGUCUCGCGCAUCCUUUCCUCCCACCGGGGACCCGGCCGUCGUCUCUACAUCAACACCUGCAUCCACUGGAUACCAGCAGACACCGUGGAAGCUUGCCUCCGAUCCGCCGCUCUGGACAACCUUGAGGAGCUUGAUUUCAUCAACCAUCUGUUAGAGAAACCACAGCGGGCAUUGAUCCUCCGCUUCUCGCCCACCCUCCGUGUUGCCAACAUUGGUGGAUGCAACCUCUCGGACGUCAACUUCCAUGAGCUUCACCUUCACUUCCCCCUGCUUAAGCUGCUCGGUCUUGUAAAUGUCAUGAUCUCGGAGAGCUCGCUGCAUAGCCUGAUUGCCGGGUGCCCAGCUCUCGAGUGCUUGCUGAUUGACAUGUGCUCUGGCUUCCGCCGCAUCCAAAUAAACUCCCCAACUAUUAGAUGCAUGGCUGUGAGAGAAUAUGGGAUACCGAUAGAGUCACUGCUGCUUGAACAAAUCGUCAUUGAGAAAGCUCCUUGUCUUGUGAGGCUGCUCUUUGAGAGGGGCAGUAUUCUGCAGGUAACCGUACUCGCAGCUCCUAAACUGGAGACUUUAGGCUUCAUUAGUGAUAAGUGCAGGUCAGGUGAAUUGUCCAGACUCAUGAUUGGCUCCACUGUUAUUCAGGUAUGCCCUGUGGUUUCUCAGUUGCAUUUCUAUGUGCAGAAAAAUUGCCUAUCACCUGACCUGUGCACUGGCCUAAUAUUGUGGCUUUCAUACUUGAUAAAGGGAUUGCGUGUUGAUAACCUGAUAACAGUGGUACAAACUGUCAAGAUUUUGGCUCUUGAUAUGCACAAUCUUAGUUUGGAUACUGUUAUUGAGUUGAUGAGAUGCUUUCCAUGCUUGGAGAAGUUGCACAUUCAGUCAUUUCAAUCAAGACCGGGGAAUUUGUGGCGUCGUAAACACCGGAAUCUGUUAAGAUGUUUUGACAUGAGUCUGAAGACGUUAGUGUUACAACUAUAUCGGGGGAAGAAGUCGCAGAUUAACUUUCUUACAUUCUUUGUAUUGAAUGCGAAAGUGCUAGAGUCAGUGACACUUGGCAUCACAACCAGGAAUAACAAUGAGAAGUUCUUGGCAGAACAACGCAGGAAGCUUGAGCUGGAGAACAGGGUUUCCAGAGAUGCUCAGUUUCAUUUUAUAACAGGUAGUUGUGUCCGCAGUUCUUAUGAUAUCAAGCAUAUUGGUGAUUUGGAUUUAACUGAUCCAUUCGCACAUAUGUAG